AUGAUGAGGUGGCAGCCUUUGUGGAAGACAUCCAAAGGAGGACCAAGCAUGUGCCAGGAAAGGGGGUUUGUGGCAGGUCUCAGCUGAAUGCAGCCAAAGAGACGAGUAAGAGGAGUAGCUCCAGCCUUGAUGAGCAGGGUAUAGAAGUAGCUGUGUGCCGACAUGGGAUUAUUCUUCGUGCUCUGAAUAUGUUCAGGCAAGUUUGAUAACCCUCUUACUAACAUCUAUUCCAAAAAGGUUUCACCCUUUCAGGACAUAUACUUGCUAACACCAUAAACUCAUCUAUUAAUCGUAAACCUAACUUCUGUCUUUUUGUCAGUUUAUUAUGUAUUGUUGACAUAAUGCUGUGAUGCAAUCCUACAGGGGUGAGAUCUUCGCUUAUCCCAUGUUCCUGCAGAAGGAAGUCUCUGCCAUCAGUCCUCCAACCUUCUUUUGCAUGGACGUUAUUUGCAAAU